rnacentral:rRNA from 1 species
CAGAGGGAAUUUCACGUGUAGGGGGUAAAAUCCGUAGAGAUGUGAAGGAACACCCGGAGGCGAAGGACGCCUGCCUGGACGACUAUUGACGCUGAGGCGCGAAAGCGUGGGGAGCAAACAGGAUUAGAUACCCUGGUAGUCCACGCCGUAAACGAUGAGCACUAGUUAUUGGAGGUAUUGACUCCUUCAGUGACGCAGCUAACGCAUUAAGUGCUCCGCCUG